rnacentral:rRNA from 1 species
GAUGAACGCUGGCGGCGUGCCUAAUACAUGCAAGUCGAGCGAACGGACGAGAAGCUUGCUUCUCUGAUGUUAGCGGCGGACGGGUGAGUAACACGUGGAUAACCUACCUAUAAGACUGGGAUAACUUCGGGAAACCGGAGCCAAUACCGGAUGAUAUUUUGAACCGCAUGGUUCAAACGUGAAAGACGGUCUUGCUGUCACUUAUAGAUGGAUCCGCGCUGCAUUAGCUAGUUGGUAAGGUAACGGCUUACCAAGGCAACGAUGCAUAGCCGACCUGAGAGAGUGAUCGGCCACACUGGAACUGAGACACGGUCCAGACUCCUACGGGAGGCAGCAGUAGGGAAUCUUCCGCAAUGGGCGAAAGCCUGACGGAGCAACGCCGCGUGAGUGAUGAAGGUCUUCGGAUCGUAAAACUCUGUUAUUAGGGAAGAACAUAUGUGUAAGUAACUGUGCACAUCUUGACGGUACCUAAUCAGAAAGCCACGGCUAACUACGUG